rnacentral:rRNA from 1 species
GACGAACGCUGGCGGCGUGCUUAACACAUGCAAGUCGAACGGAAAGGCCCUGCUUUUGUGGGGUGCUCGAGUGGCGAACGGGUGAGUAACACGUGAGUAACCUGCCCUUGACUUUGGGAUAACUUCAGGAAACUGGGGCUAAUACCGGAUAUGAGCUCCUGCUGCAUGGUGUUGGUUGGAAAGUUUCGGCGGUUGGGGAUGGACUCGCGGCUUAUCAGCUUGUUGGUGGGGUAGUGGCUUACCAAGGCUUUGACGGGUAGCCGGCCUGAGAGGGUGACCGGCCACAUUGGGACUGAGAGACGGACCAGACUCCUACGGGAGGCAGCAGUGGGGAAUAUUGCACAAUGGGCGGAAGCCUGAUGCAGCAACGCCGCGUGCGGGAUGACGGCCUUCGGGUUGUAAACCGAUUUCGCCUGUGACGAAGCGUGAGUGACGGUAAUGGGUAAAGAAGCACCGGCUAACUACGUG